GAGCGAAGACGCCGAAUUGAGAUGGCGACUAUCUUUGUUUUGAAGGUUGGCGAGAAAAAAUUUUGCAGUUCUCCGUGCCUCUCAAAAACCCCUCUUUUGAAGACGGCCUCGAACAAGCUGCUAUAUU